rnacentral:rRNA from 1 species
CUACGGGUGGCUGCAGUGAGGAAUUUUGCGCAAUGGGGGCAACCCUGACGCAGCAACGCCGCGUGAGUGAAGAAGGCCUUUGGGUCGUAAAGCUCUGUCAACUGGGAAGAAGUUAGAGUUGUUUAAUAGAUGACUCUAUUGACGGUACCAGUGGAGGAAGCGCCGGCUAACUCCGUGCCAGCAGCCGCGGUAACACGGGGGGCGCAAGCGUUAUUCGGAAUUAUUGGGCGUAAAGGGCGCGCAGGCGGUCUUGUCAGUCAGGUGUGAAAGCCCGGGGCUCAACCCUGGAAGUGCACUUGAAACAGCAAGACUUGAAUACGGGAGAGGAAAGCGGAAUUCCUGGUGUAGAGGUGAAAUUCGUAGAUAUCAGGAGGAACACCGAUGGCGAAGGCAGCUUUCUGGACCGAUAUUGACGCUGAGGCGCGAAGGCGUGGGUAGCGAACGGGAUUAGAUACCCGUGUAGUC